rnacentral:rRNA from 1 species
GUGGGGAAUAUUGGACAAUGGGCGCAAGCCUGAUCCAGCCAUGCCGCGUGAGUGAUGAAGGCCUUAGGGUUGUAAAGCUCUUUUGUCCGGGAAGAUAAUGACUGUACCGGAAGAAUAAGCCCCGGCUAACUUCGUGCCAGCAGCCGCGGUAAUACGAAGGGGGCUAGCGUUGUUCGGAAUCACUGGGCGUAAAGCGCACGUAGGCGGACCAUUAAGUCAGGGGUGAAAGCCUGGAGCUCAACUCCAGAACUGCCUUUGAUACUGAUGGUCUCGAGUAUGGAAGAGGUUGGUGGAACUGCGAGUGUAGAGGUGAAAUUCGUAGAUAUCCGCAAGAACACCGGUGGCGAAGGCGGCCAACUGGUCCAUUACUGACGCUGAGGUGCGAAAGCGUGGGGAGCAAACAGGAUUAGAAACCCUGGUAGUCC